CGGUUAACCUACGAAGAAAGACCUACGCCCCGACCGCUGCCCGCGGGUCGCCCGCUCCCUCGCGCCCCUGUUGCUCCCUCCUCGAUCCCGAUCUGGAUCGAGGGGACGAGGAGCUCCUGCCUCCCCGACGGCCGGCCUCCUCCUCGCCCCGCUGCUGCGUCCGGCGCCGCCACGGCCUCUGGAGCCAGGGAAGCCAUGGCCUGAGCUCGGCCUCGAGGUCCCCGCCGCCGUCUCCUGCAGCUUCUGCCCCGCCGCCUCACCGCCCGAGCUCGCCGUCGCACCAACCUCGGCGCCGCGCCGCCGCCGGCUCUGGUCGCCUCCACCUCCGCUCCAGUGCUUAAGGAUGGAGGAGAACGGCCUGAAGUUCGUGCUCGAUCUGGUGGUCAGGUUCCCACUUCGGCAAGAGUUUGCCGAUGACCUUAAGCACUCCGAUCCAGUGCCGCUAAGGCUGCCACCCAGGGGGAGGCUGGCGCUCUUGGCACGGAGGAUUCAAUUGGUGAAUUUGGCUGCGCCCUGAGGUUAAUCGGGAGGCACCUGGAUGGACGAAAAGGCAAAGCCUAAGGCCGAGAAUAGCCGAUCAUGCAUGUACGAGUGUCCCGCGCUGAUCAGGGAGAAGGUUCAUUGGCACAUAGACUUCUGUGUUAACAGGGCGACAACGUCAAGGAUGGCAUCUGCGAGAACUCUUUUGUGUUAGAUAAAUUGAUGAUUAUGUCUGGAUCUCCAGGGGCAGACACUAUCAUACUGAAGCUCUGCCGGACCACGACUGUCAACAGGAUCACCGUAUUCUUUGAGGAACACAAACAAUCCAUUUAUGCAUUGCUAACUUUUCUGAACUUUUACAUGCUUCAGGCUCACUCCUUGACAACACUUAGCUAUCAUAAGGAUGAGGACGGAGCACAACUCUCUCAAUUCCCAAAAUGAGGAUCCAAAUGAACUUGGUUACGUACUAAAUUAUUGUUGAGGAUCUCAGGUAAUCGUUGCAGUUGAAGAUUACGCCCCUGAUCAUCAUUCUCAUUUUCAAACUUGCCAUUUAUCAGAGGAUUUGGAUGGGGUGCAUUCAUGCAUUAUAUUGGAGCAAGGACCUGCCGAGGAGGGGGAUACCAUGGGGAGGCGAACCUGGUAAAAUAGGGGUGGAAAGUAUACUAUAGGAAAGACUGUGGGGUUUGUGUAUCCUUAUCCAGGACAUUGUGAAGGCUUCUGAUGCAGUUUACAAGAAGCAAUUGGUGAGCUAAUUCAGAGAUAAGUGAAAUGAUAAUAAGAAGGUUAAAUAAUGUUGUUCAAUCUUUCCGUCAAGCAACCUGUUUGGCCCCAAAUGUCCGCACCGACGCGGUGACGCCCGUGGGCGCCACCGUUCCUUCCUGAAGGGCAUCGGGUGUUGCUUGGCAUGCGGAGGUUCAAGGUGCUAGGAGCGAGGUGGUAAAUCUCCGGUGGGCGCAGCGGUUGCGGGUCCUCAUCAUUUUCGUCGAUCCGACGCUGUCGACAUUAUUUUCUCUCUUCUUUCUCUUUUUUUUUUCGUUUGGGCGUGCUUGUGCUGUUUGCCCCAGCAUUGGACUCUUGGUUGUAUUGGGCUGUUGCUAUAUCUAUAUAGCGGGGCGAAAGCCUAUUUCGUAAGAUUCUUCCAUGAAUUCAACACUUGGCAAACCACUCCCA